rnacentral:rRNA from 1 species
GCUGGCGGCAGGCCUAACACAUGCAAGUCGAGCGCGAAAGCACUUCGGUGUGAGUAAAGCGGCGGACGGGUGAGUAACGCGUAGGAAUCUACCUAGUAGUGGGGGACAACUCGGGGAAACUCGAGCUAAUACCGCAUACGCCCUACGGGGGAAAGCGGGGGACCUUCGGGCCUCGUGCUAUUAGAUGAGCCUGCGUUGGAUUAUCUAGUUGGUGGGGUAAAGGCCUACCAAGGCGACGAUCCAUAGCUGGUCUGAGAGGAUGAUCAGCCACACCGGGACUGAGACACGGCCCGGACUCCUACGGGAGGCAGCAGUGGGGAAUAUUGCGCAAUGGGCGAAAGCCUGACGCAGCCAUGCCGCGUGUGUGAAGAAGGCCUUCGGGUUGUAAAGCACUUUCAAUUGGGAGGAAAGGUUCACGGUUAAUAACCGUGAACUGUGACGUUACCUUUAGAAGAAGCACCGGCUAACUCCGUGCCAGCAGCCGCGGUAAUACGGAGGGUGCAAGCGUUAAUCGGAAUUACUGGGCGUAAAGCGCGCGUAGGUGGUCUGUUAAGUCGGAUGUGAAAGCCCCGGGCUCAACCUGGGAACUGCAUCCGAUACUGGCA